GGAUCCCCGGAUGGGACUGACAGCCAGGCACGUCUGAAGAGGAACGGAGACCGACCGCACGCUAUAGAGGUGGAAUUGCGGAGAGGGAGAGAAACGGGCGCAGAUUCGGUCAUUCCUUCCCUCUGACUCUUGUGCUCCCGCAUCCACGGGUCGCCCCGUGCUUGCCACGAAACCAGACCGCGGGGAUUGAGCUGCGUUCGGGUGCACUUUGAAGGGGGCAAGGACAGUGAACGCCCCCGUUCCCCUUUCUCUCGAUUUCUUCAGUUUUUGUCUUCCCCUCUUUGGGUGCAGAUGUUUAUGUGAAGGCAGCUUGUUUGGAAUGUAGCGUUUUACGGUGCUGGCUGCACACAGACCGAAAAGCGCAAGGGAAAAGGAGGCAACGUUGGUAACGGGAGGAAUAUAUCCUCCUUCCCUGGCGGACUUCAGAUGAACGGAACAUGCUGUGCGCAAGAGGCGGCAGCCGUGAUACUAACUGCUCCGUGACCCUCGCUAGGAGACGAGUGAAACACCGAAAGCCGCGCGAGCAGCCAGCCCCGCCACCGCUGCAGCAGCGCGAGCCCGAGCCUGCCGCCUCUCCCGAAGCCAUGGACUGGGCAGCAGGGAUGAGCAGAAGAGAGAGGGAUUAGUGUGUAUGUGUUCUCCACUGCAGUGCUACGGACCCAAUGAUAUCCAGAAGAAGCCAGACACACGGACCUAAGGCUGGAACGAGUGCCAGACAGUCAGGGAUCGAGCUGGACGUGAAGGGUCCCUGAAUCCUUCCGCUAGACAACUGUAAGAGCACGUAAACUGCAUCUCUCGUCCCCCGUUAGUGACAUCACUGAGACGCGAGUGCCCUGCAUUGGAUGAGCCACCUGACCAGGCGCCUGCGUUCGGGCGGG